GUCCGUGCAGAUGGGAGGGUAACGACGGAGCCUACGUGCCCGGGACUAGGUCCCAAGUGGCAGCCUCUGCAGGUAACUACAACCAAGUUCUGACUUGUUAAGGUCAGAGAAUUCUGGAGUGAGGAAGACAGCAGAAUAAGAGAGAAGCUCUUAGCCUGCAGUCCUUUCUGUAGACCACUCAGCACCGCUGUCUGCCGGGGCCUUGGCGUUCCUCUUCCCACACAGCCGUCGUCUGUUAAAGCAGAACACGGGAGCGCGCUCCGGUACAAAGACAAACUAUGUACAGACACCCGGGAAGCAACCAGAGAAAAGCAACCAUUUGGGGGAUCAAGAGACAAAUGGGAAGAAAAAGUCGUUGAAGGUGACCUUCGCCCACUGACUGUGCACAGGGGGAGCCUGAAAUUCCAUUCACCGAAGCGCACAUCACGGUUUUCAUUCGGCAUAGGCAGGGGAAAAAUAAGCUCGGAGGUUUUCAUCACAUCCACCGUCACAUCGUUUGGUUUCUCUAAUCUGACAUAAAGGCUAAAGUUUUACAGAGCUUUGAGGGCCUUUGGGGAGGAAUAGGUCAGCGAUUUCCAAGGAGCAGGUAGGCCCAUGGCAGUCUCCUCAGUCCUGGAUGGGGUGGGGACCUCGGGCAGUGUUUGAUCAGAGGGAAACGUUUUGAUUUGAGAAAUCUCAGGUUGUUCUUGUGCUAAUGCAAAUGACAAAAAGCUCCAAUUGUAGCUUUUUCAGAAAAAAAGGUGCU
rnacentral:lncRNA from 1 species